GGAUUUGUUUAGCGAAUUAUCACAAGCAAAAGUACACAAAAUGCAAAUUCUUAAGCAAAACAGAUAAUUGGUUUUAUUCUGCAAAUACCAGCAAUUAAAACUAAGAAACUCAUACCGCAACAGUUUUACGUACAACUAUAACAAAACGACCAAUAUUUUAAAGACAUUCCUCUUGAAAAACUGAAGACGUCAAAAGCAAAAACACCCUGUAUAAGCAAUAUGAUGACCAAACAAUAGCCAAUAUAUUUUGAAAAAUUCGUUGUUUGCAUAUUUAGACAAUCGGUCAGAAAAUCGCGGUUUUGGUCCUUCGAGCAGGAUUUUGCAUAGUUGAUCACCGUUAUUUCCAUUCGGUCGUGAGCCGGAAUAAUUCUCCGGAGCAGAAAAAAAAUCCCGUUUUCGAUUUGGAAGACGCAGCAAAUAUCCAAAUCAAACUGGUCAGAACUAUAAAAUGCUUUCCGGUAGCUGAAAGCCUAAGAUGCUGCGUGAUGAUUCAUCUAUCUAUGAAAUUAAGAAAUAGUUUCGACAUUACAACAAAAGCUUUUAAAUAAGAAACCCUCUUGAAAAUGUAUGCAAUGUUAACCAUUAAUUUGGUGUUUUGCCGAAAGUUUAAUUUCGUAUUCAGCACAACAAACUGCUAAAGUUGGGAGUUUAGGAGAAAAUGUGUGUGAAAAUUGACACAAAACCUGAAUUAAAAAUAUACCCAAAAAACCCUCACUAAUGGCGCAAAUCUCUUUCAGUCCAAAGCAAUGCUUUUUUCCAUACCAACAUUUCCAGCACCGACUAUCUUAGAAAAAAAAAACCAUCAAAACUUAACGUAAAUUUUUAACGCUUAUAAAUAUGUUCAAAAGUUUUGUUUUUAAUUAAGGAUCGAUGGAUAUCGCAUAGUUGUCUCGCUAAUUUGUUGGUCAAAACGAAGACCAGAAGUAAAAGUAUUUGUCACUACCAAAACGGAUCUAUAUUUUAAGCUGUGAAGGUGUCAAGUUGGAACGUGGCAACACGCAGGCCAUCGUGCAUCUCACAUAGACUCGUAUGUGUGCGAAUACGACAACCGAUGCUAGCCACGUUCGUGAAUGAGGAAAUCGGUUUUAUUUAAUGGCAAUCGAGUCAGGGAAAAGUUAAGGAUUUUACGACUAUCGCCUGGGUUUUAAGCAACAAGCUAUUGAAUUUUUAUUUUUUUUCAGUUUCAAGUAGAACCAACUUUAGUUUCUUCUUGUUAGAUAUUUCCUCUAAUUGAAGCCUGAAAUAAUUUAUCUCUGACUUAUUAAUGCCUAACUUAUUCGGAUUGCAUACGGUUCGAUAAUUGUCCCUAACAGCACUCAGCUGCAGAUUUUUACGGCUAAUCAGCCCGGAGAAGAAAAAAGUGAUAAGAAAAGGUCAACGCAAAAAGACGCAAGUUUAGCCAAUUCUUUUUGGCUUCAGUACUCGAAUUGGAAAAUGAAAAAUUAUCCAGACUCACUCUUUGAAAUUAGUCCAUUAUUGCAGUUCAAUCUGAAAUUAACCGGAACGUAUUUCUUUCAUUUCGUUUAGAACGGUCAUUUUCAGCUUUAAACAGUUUAUUUGUUUUAAGUCAAAUGCAGCAAAUCGAAAAUAUGAUUUAACUCCGUCUAGAUAGACACUUCCUUCUUAAUGUCUCAAAACACGCUACUUCGUUGAUCUAAGAACCAUAUUUAUUGUCUCUAAACACAUUAGUUUUGGAGGAAAAUUGUGAAUAAAGUAGUUUUCGAUUUGAAAUUUGCAUUUUUGAUGAGUUACAUAUAUUUUCGCUUCAAUUCUCUAACUAUAAUUUAGCUAGAAAAUCCAACAAUGAUUUCUAUAUUUUAUACUAAUUCCAACAAUAUUUUAAGAAAUGUUUAACCAUCUUGCUUUAACGUUAGGUAUUUAGAAAUGGUUUUAUCAAUACAAGUGUUUUUGUUUUUUUCUUUUUCAAUUAAUUUGGAAAACUGUGAAUAUUAAUCGUUCUUCUAUUCGAUUAAUUUCAAAAAAUGCUUGCAAAUGUAAAUACUCUAUAAAUGCAAUGUAAUUCAGCCUGAAAAUUUCAAUAUUUUACUUUCCUCGGCUUCUUAAGGUUUACCUACUUUCUAUUUAAGUUAGGAAAAGUGGUGCUUUGGAUCGAAUUGCAAGGAAAAAGUUCGAUUUCUUUCGGGGGGUGCAAUUUUUAGAGCAAUUUUCAAGAGGGUUGAAAUAGAUUUGGCUUCUGUAUUAGAAAUCCUAGAUUUAUAGUCACAAUUGACUAUUUUAUUUACUAGCAACCGCAAUAUGCGUAUAUGAGGCAACUGAAAAUAUUAAUCUCAAAAAAGUGAAGGACAAAAUUAGCAGAAAAUAUUUAAAGCUGCCAACAAAAAAUAACGAUAAAAUAAAUAAUAAAAAUAUGUUUUUAAUUCUUAUCUCUCCGAAAUGAUGAGGAUUUUAAGCAAGUGUAUUUAUUAACGGAAAGCAAGCUACUAAAUAUUUUUUAUUCUCUUAUUUUCGCGCAAGAUAGUAUUUUUUAAUGCUAGAUUUUAAGCGCAAUCUUCUCAUAUGUUGCACACAUGUGAAAUUUUCUCGAAUUGGGCAAAUUAGUCUAAAAAAUGUUUUAAAUGGUAAAAAUUGGAAUCCAAAACUAUUGCCACUGAAAUGUAAUGAGUUUAUCUUGCACUUAGGGAAAUUUCUUUUGUGGAAUGUAGUUUUUAGCAACUUUGGCUCAUUAUAAUUAGAUCAAUUUACACCUGAAAAGUCGCGCAAAAACGCUGGUUACAAUCAAAUUUCCAAUUUGAAAAUAGUUUCUUAAUUGACACGACGAAAAACUUGUGCUUGCACUAUGAAACGUCCAAUCGAUAUCAUUUUGAGAGAAUUCGUGCGUUAGAAACAACCGAUUGCAAAAAGCCAAAUUUAAUAAACAAAAUCAGUGUUUAAAGUCAGAACUGAAAUUCGCUUCAACGUUUGCAUGCGAUUUGGAUCAAAUUAGGAGUUUUUUUGCCCAAGUGAUUAGAAGUGACCCAGAUUCGCCUGAAACUAUAAGAUCACUUGAAUGCUUUGACCGAUAAAAAAAUUUGAAAGGAAAUUUCCAACAUUUGGCCGAAAUUACGAAAGAGGAUGUGCAACCUCUGAACCUCCCGAUAAAAUUAAUGAAUCAAAUACGCUAAUUAUGAAAAUGUAUUCGACUCGGAUUUCAUUCAGCAAAAGGGUCAGACGGUAUUUUUAGUUCAUUUGUCAUCGUUCAGCUAUUUGCUUUGUUUGUUUGUUUGGUUUUGACCAGGUUUUUACUUUUUAGAAAUUCGACCCAAAGGAUGUCCUGGCCGAGCGAGGAUCUUCCGAGCUGUACAUAUUAAUUAAAUUAUUAUUUAUUGUAGUCUAAGAGCUUAUGAAUCAGUCGCUGUUCACAUGCCACUAAGUGAAUUAUGUUACUUAAGAUAGUUUUAUACAAGGUGUUUGUAAAUAAGGUAAUGCAAAAUAAAACGACCGAUUUUUUUAUCAAUUUUUUAACUGCACAGCCGUCUGACAUUGAAUAUCCAGACCACAUCCAGAGACAGCCAGAUUAAUAUUUAGUAAUUCGUUCAUUCAUAAAUUCACCGAAACACAUUGCUCAUGCUCGACCGGGUUUAAUUGGAAUUAAAUGGUCGGGAAUUUCCACAACAGCAUUUUUAUUAAGCCUCGUCAAAUCUUAACAAGAUUAAGUAGAUGCAUGUGAUUGACGAUGUCAAGCCACUCACACCAUGUGGCCAGAGUUUAUUUAAUAAUUUAACACUGAUUAAGAAAAGCUCAAUCACUGCCUCUACGGGAAGAAAGGUCAAUAAUAUUCAUAAAUCAUCCCAAGUUGAGCAAAAUUUCGCAGUAGCAAGUUGGUGUGAGUUCAUUCAAACCCGCCUGGAUUCCAGCCAGUCUAUAAUAAAGCAUGACCAAUUAUUGUGGCGUAUUUAAUAUUCACACACAAAUCGCUUCUUAUCGUUAGUGCUGUAACACAAACAAAUCAUUAUUAGCUCUGUCGUAGUACAUGAUAAAAGCGAUUCAAUAUUUUUAACCGCGAUUGUGGUGGAGACCUCUGCUGACCAUGGGAAAGCUAGUAAAAGUAAUUUUUCUAAUUGCUGUUUUUAUUGCGCUGCAAAUACAGGGUGCACCCAACAAUUUGCCUCGCAAUUUCACCAAAAUGGGCUAUCAAUUUGUGAACAAGUGUGGAGAGGGCGAGAUUCCUCUAAGAGGCAUGUGCAGACAAGUGUUCAAUUACUAUGAUCACUACUAGUCACCGAAGCUCAAUAGUAAGGUUUUACUCUACUUCCACUUCAGAAGUCUCAGCAACUCAACAACCAAUCACAUGCAAAAAAUGUGCAUAUGUCAUGUAAUUUAUCAAUAAAAACUAAAACACCAAUCAGCUGAAAAAAGGAGGAGAAAAAACAACUAAGACAAUAGGAACAGUGUUAUAAAACAUUUCCAUUCAUGAUGGUAGAUAAGCACAUUGUUACCAGUUAUCAAUGAGUUUUAUUGGGACAUGGAUAACAGCAUUAUAAAUUACAAUACAUGUAUAUGAUAAACCAUAUAAAAGUAAUGAUAAAAAAAUUAA